rnacentral:tRNA from 1 species
AGUCGCGUAGCUCAGUUGGUUAGAGCACCACCUUGACAUGGUGGGGGUCGGUGGUUCGAGUCCACUCGCGACUA